GGGCUUGGCUGACUCGUGAUGGGCUGUUGCUCUCCUAUGGUGCACGCCUGUCAUAUUUAUCUCUCCAACUGUGCACACUUUGUAGACCUGGUGUUUUGGGAAUUGCUUACAGUAGUUGGCUUUGCCCUUUGCUUCUCGCCAGUCUAUGUUAUUUUAUCACAACCUCUGAAUGUUUUGAACUUUAUGAUGGAAAUUAUAUACAACUUUCAGCAACGGAUCUCUUGGCUCUCGCAUCGAUGAAGAACGCAGCGAAAUGCGAUAAGUAAUGUGAAUUGCAGAAUUCAGUGAAUCAUCGAAUCUUUGAACGCAUCUUGCGCUUCUUGGUAUUCCAAGGAGCAUGCCUGUUUGAGUGUCAUUAAAGUUCUCAAAACCACAUGUUUGUUCAUGUGGAAUUUUGGAUAUGGGGGUUGCAGGCUUUUCAAGUCGGCUCCCCUGAAAUGUAUUAGUGGUAUCUGUGUGGAACUACAGGUGUGAUAAAUAAAAUCUAUGCCUUGUCUCUCACUGUGCUGCUUCUAAUGGGUUGGAUUGACAAAUUUGACCUCAAAUCAGGUAGGACUACCCGCUGAACUUAAGCAUAUCAAUAAGCGGAGGAAAAGAAACUAACAAGGAUUCCCCUAGUAACUGCGAGUGAAGCGGGAAAAGCUCAAAUUUGAAAUCUGACGGUUCUUGACCGUCCGAGUUGUAAUCUAGAGAAGUGUUACCUGUGCUGGACCGUGAAAA
rnacentral:rRNA from 1 species